AGUGAACGCUGGCGGUAGGCCUAACACAUGCAAGUCGAACGGCAGCACAGUAAGAGCUUGCUCUUACGGGUGGCGAGUGGCGGACGGGUGAGGAAUACAUCGGAAUCUACUUUUUCGCGGGGGAUAACGUAGGGAAACUUACGCUAAUACCGCAUACGACCUACGGGUGAAAGCAGGGGAUCUUCGGACCUUGCGCGAUUGAAUGAGCCGAUGUCGGAUUAGCUAGUUGGCGGGGUAAAGGCCCACCAAGGCGACGAUCCGUAGCUGGUCUGAGAGGAUGAUCAGCCACACUGGAACUGAGACACGGUCCAGACUCCUACGGGAGGCAGCAGUGGGGAAUAUUGGACAAUGGGCGCAAGCCUGAUCCAGCCAUACCGCGUGGGUGAAGAAGGCCUUCGGGUUGUAAAGCCCUUUUGUUGGGAAAGAAAAGCAGUAGGUUAAUACCCCGCUGUUCUGACGGUACCCAAAGAAUAAGCACCGGCUAACUUCGUG
rnacentral:rRNA from 1 species